AGAGUUCGAUCCUGGCUCAGGAUGAAUGAUGGCGUCAUUCUUAACACAUGCAAGUCGGACGGGAAACAUGGGAAACGGUGUUUCCAGUGGCGGACGGGUGAGUAAUGCGUAAGAACCUGCCCUUGGAAGGGGAACAAUAGCUGGAAACGGCUGCUAAUACCCCUUAGGCUGAGUAGCAAAAGGAGAAAUCCUCUCGAGGAGGGGAUCGCGUUUGAUUAGCUAGUUGGUGAGGCAAUAGCUUACCAAGGCGAUGAUCAGUAGAUGGUCCAAGAGGAUGAUCAGCCACACUGGGACUGAGACACGGCCCAGACUUCUGCGAGAGGCAGCAGUGGGGAAUUUUUCGCAAUGGGCGAAAGCCUGAUGGAGCAAUGCCGCGUGGAGGUAGAAGGACCAUGGGUCAUGAACUUUCUUUCCCGUAGAAGAAGCAAUGAAGGUAUCUGGGGCAUAAGCAUCGGCUAACUCUGUGCCAGCAGCCGUGGUAAUACAGAAGAUGCAAGCGUUAUCCGGAAUGAUUGGGUGUAAAGCGUCUGUAGGUGGCUUUUUAAGUCCUCCGUCAAAUCCCAGGGCUCAACCCUUGACAGGCGGGGGAAACUACCAAGCUGGAGUACGGUAGGGGAAGAGGGAAUUUUUGGUGGAGUGGAGAAAUGCAUAGAGAUCGGAAAGAACACCAACUGCGAAAGCACUCUGCUGGGCCGAUACUGACACUGAGAGAGGAAAGCUAGGGGAGCGAAUAGGAUUAGAUACCAUAGUAGUCCUAGCCGUAAACGAUGGAUACUAGGCGCUGUGCGUAUCGACUCGUGCAGUGCUGUAGCUAACACAUUAAGUAUCCAGCCUGGGGAGUACAUUCGCAAUAAUGAAACUCAAAAGAAUUGAUGGGGUCCUGCACAAGUGGUGGAGCAUGUGGUUUAAUUCGAUGCAAAGCGAAGAACCUUACCAGGGCUUGACAUACCGCGAAUUCUCUUGAAAGAGAGGGGUGCCUUCGAGAACAUGGACACAGGUGGUGCAUGGUUGUCGUCAGCUCGUGCCGUAAGGUGUUUCGUUAAGUCCAGUAAUAAGUGCAACCCUCGUGUUUAUUUGCCAUCAUUGAGUUUGGAACCCUGAACAGACUGCCGGUGAUAAGCCAGAGGAAGGUAAGGAUAACAUCAACUCAUCAUGCCCCUUAUACCCUGGGCGACACACGUGCUACAAUGGCUGGGACAAAGGGUCGUGAUCCCGCGAGGGGGAGAUAACCCCAAAAUCCCAUCCUCAGUUUGGAUUGCAGGCUGCAACUCGCCUGCAUGAAGCCGGAAUCUCUAGUAAUCGGCGAUCAUCCAUACGACGAUGAAUUCAUUCCCAGGCCUUCUACACACCGCCCGUCACACUAUGGGAGUUGGCCAUGCUGGAAGUCAUUACCUUAAAUGCAAGGAGGGGGAUGCCGAAGGCAGGGCUAGUGACUGGAGUGAAGUCGUAACAAGGUAGCCGUACUGGAAGAUGCGGCUG
rnacentral:rRNA from 1 species